rnacentral:misc_RNA from 1 species
UCAGUUCAUACAUUCAUUGUCUGUCAAUGAGUCGUGGCCGUGGUUAGCCGAUUGAAGUGCCAAAAAGAAUUCAACUCACCCCAGACCGAUAUUUUUAACCAAAAUGGGUUCCAAAUUGCAAGAGUACAAAGACACGUUAGAACGCAACUUAAAUGACAAAAGCAAGCCAUGGACGAAAUAUUUCGAAUUAGCCGAACAGAAAACUGGCAUGAACAGGGUCUAUAUCUUUGUCGGCUUAGUGGCGUUCACCGGUUUAUAUUUAGUAUUCGGAUUUGGAGCUGAAUUAAUAUGCAAUUCAAUUGGUUUCGUGUACCCGGCUUACAUGUCGAUGAAAGCAUUGGAGUCGCCACAGAAGGACGAUGAUACAAAAUGGUUGACAUAUUGGGUGGUAUACGCCGUCUUCUCAAUAGUGGAGUAUUUCUCCGACUUCAUUGUCGGCUGGUUCCCGCUAUACUGGCUAAUUAAGUGCAUUUUCAUCAUCUGGUGCUACCUACCGACGGAGUACAACGGAUCCCUGAUAAUUUAUCACCGCAUCAUCCGUCCUUACUAUCAGAAACACCACAACCGUAUCGACGACAUGGCCGCCUCAGAUAUUUUGAAAACUAUUGUGAAGGAUGCCAAUAAAAGUAUUGAUAAAACGGUUAAAUCAUUCAACAAAGUGCUUUCAGAUCUGCAUAAAGACUAAAGCAUCAGGGGUUAUAGAGUAAGGUAAACAAGAGUAGAGCCGUUAUAUCUGCACUGAACUUCUCGCCUGGUAGCUGAUGCUGUAAGGAAGAACAACUAGAUCAUGUAAUUUAAUUAUCGGAGGAAAAGUACAAAACACCAAAUACAGCACUUUGAACGCUUGCAACACUUGCCGCCACAGAUAAAAAAAAUACCAUAGACAACUUAGUACAUCGAAAUAAGUGAUCUACUUCUAAUAAAAUAUUUUUCUACAAUCUUGUUUCUUAUUCAUUGGGUAUUUGGGUAGGCUUAACGGUUCGGAAACAUCUGUAUUAAUUAAGUUUUGUAUUACUUCGACUGUCUUAGUAUAAAAUCGUUAGUGUAUCGCUUUCUGACUUGAUCUUUUUUAAAAUCCUAGCUUAAGUGACUUCGAUUUUUCCUAGUUUUCUUCAUAAGACCCCAAGGCAAUGAAUUUCCUGUGUUUUCUUUUAUUGUAUAAUAAUAUAAGUAGCUCAAGGAAUGUUAGUAUUUUUCGUAUUGUUAAGUUUGAAUAAAAGACCAUGUUUUUUUAGUUUUUGUGGAUUUUCGCACAGAUUGUAAUAUGCUUUAAGUGUCGCCAAUUAUAGAGCAUUUAAGUGUGAACACUUGUGGUAUAAAAUGGUAACCCCGGUUUUUCGAUAAAUCGUGUAGUUUUUUCUACGCUUGAACUGCAAAUCCAUGUUGUAUGCCUCGUAUCUGUCUACUAAAUAAUAUUCACGCAAGGAAUUACUAUAAUGUCAUUUUUUCACGCAAAUAAAAAGGAAUUCAUUGUA